AAAUUGAAGAGUUUGAUCAUGGCUCAGAUUGAACGCUGGCGGCAGGCCUAACACAUGCAAGUCGAACGGUAACAGGAAGAAGCUUGCUUCUUUGCUGACGAGUGGCGGACGGGUGAGUAAUGUCUGGGAAACUGCCUGAUGGAGGGGGAUAACUACUGGAAACGGUAGCUAAUACCGCAUAACGUCGCAAGACCAAAGAGGGGGACCUUCGGGCCUCUUGCCAUCGGAUGUGCCCAGAUGGGAUUAGCUAGUUGGUGGGGUAAC
rnacentral:rRNA from 1 species